rfam:Pteropus alecto contig9895, whole genome shotgun sequence.
GUCUACAGCCAUGCCACCCUGAACAAGCCCAAACCCGUCUGAUCUCAGAAGCUAAGCAGGGUCGGGCCUGGUUAGUACUUGGAUGGGAGACCACCUAGGAAGACCAGGCGCUGUAGGUG